GAUGAACGCUGGCGGCGUGCCUAAUACAUGCAAGUCGAGCGAACAGACGAGGAGCUUGCUCCUCUGACGUUAGCGGCGGACGGGUGAGUAACACGUGGAUAACCUACCUAUAAGACUGGGAUAACUUCGGGAAACCGGAGCUAAUACCGGAUAAUAUAUUGAACCGCAUGGUUCAAUAGUGAAAGACGGUUUUGCUGUCACUUAUAGAUGGAUCCGCGCCGCAUUAGCUAGUUGGUAAGGUAACGGCUUACCAAGGCAACGAUGCGUAGCCGACCUGAGAGGGUGAUCGGCCACACUGGAACUGAGACACGGUCCAGACUCCGACGGGAGGCAGCAGUAGGGAAUCUUCCGCAAUGGGCGAAAGCCUGACGGAGCAACGCCGCGUGAGUGAUGAAGGUCUGCGGAUCGUAAAACGCUGUUAUUAGGGAAGAACAAAUGUGUAAGUAACGAUGCACGUCUUGACGGUACCUAAGCAGAAAGCCACGGCUAACUACGU
rnacentral:rRNA from 1 species